rnacentral:rRNA from 1 species
GUGGGGAAUAUUGGACAAUGGGGGGAACCCUGAUCCAGCCAUGCCGCGUGUGUGAAGAAGGCCUUUUGGUUGUAAAGCACUUUAAGCGAGGAGGAGGCUACCGAGAUUAAUACUCUUGGAUAGUGGACGUUACUCGCAGAAUAAGCACCGGCUAACUCUGUGCCAGCAGCCGCGGUAAUACAGAGGGUGCGAGCGUUAAUCGGAUUUACUGGGCGUAAAGCGCGCGUAGGUGGCCAAUUAAGUCAAAUGUGAAAUCCCCGAGCUUAACUUGGGAAUUGCAUUCGAUACUGGUUGGCUAGAGUAUGGGAGAGGAUGGUAGAAUUCCAGGUGUAGCGGUGAAAUGCGUAGAGAUCUGGAGGAAUACCGAUGGCGAAGGCAGCCAUCUGGCCUAAUACUGACACUGAGGUGCGAAAGCAUGGGGAGCAAACAGGAUUAGAAACCCGUGUAGUCC